rnacentral:rRNA from 1 species
CCAGACUCAUACGGGAGGCAGCAGUAGGGAAUCUUCGGCAAUGGGGGGAACCCUGACCGAGCAACGCCGCGUGAGUGAAGAAGGUUUUCGGAUCGUAAAGCUCUGUUGUUAAGGAAGAACGAGUGUGAGAAUGGAAAGUUCAUACUGUGACGGUACUUAACCAGAAAGGGACGGCUAACUACGUGCCAGCAGCCGCGGUAAUACGUAGGUCCCGAGCGUUGUCCGGAUUUAUUGGGCGUAAAGCGAGCGCAGGCGGUUAGAUAAGUCUGAAGUUAAAGGCAGUGGCUCAACCAUUGUAGGCUUUGGAAACUGUUUAACUUGAGUGCAGAAGGGGAGAGUGGAAUUCCAUGUGUAGCGGUGAAAUGCGUAGAUAUAUGGAGGAACACCGGUGGCGAAAGCGGCUCUCUGGUCUGUAACUGACGCUGAGGCUCGAAAGCGUGGGGAGCGAACAGGAUUAGAUACCCUGGUAGUCCACGCCGUAAACGAUGAGUGCUAGGUGUUAGGUCCUUUCCGGGACUUAGUGCCGCAGCUAACGCAUUAAGCACUCCGCCUGGGGAGUACGACCGCAAGGUUGAAACUCAAAGGAAUUGACGGGGGCCCGCACAAG